rnacentral:lncRNA from 1 species
GCGGAUUGAUAAAUGCACAGGCCAAAACUCUCAGCUGCUGUGUACAAUACUGUAUACAGCAGCUAAAAUUAAAAACCUCCAUCAGAAAGUGUGUGUUCCCUAAUGAACACACACUUUCUGAUGUUCUGUUACCUACCAGCUGAAACCCCCCUUUUUCUCCACCCAACUUUACACUACUCUCUUAGCAUGGGUGGCUGUAAGUACACUAGGGCAAACAUAAGAUUCCUUUUCUUUGGUAUGUUUUGUUUCAUUUUAUUUUAUUUUUUCAGUUGUAUCCUACAUCUUUGGCCUGACCUCCAUUAGUGAUGUCCAAACUAGCUCAAUCUAAACUGAAAAAAAUAUCAAACUGUCAACCAAAAGUAAACACAUCACCUGUAGGUACAGUACAGUAAAGCUAAGUUUCCUUUUGUUUGGGUAUUUUUUUUUUCUUCUUCAGUUGUCUCUGCCAUCUUUGACCUGACCAUUAGUGCUGUCCUGACUAGCUCACUGUGAGCAGAAAAAAAUUAUCAAACCGUCAACCAGAAGUAAACACAUCACUUUGGACAACUCAAAGACACAGUCUACCUGCUGUUUAACCCAGUCUUUGGUCGGAGGUGAAGAAGAGAUGACAUCCUCCACACCAUCCCCCUGCUGCUCUCAACAACCAUCAUCGCUGUGCUGGACAGACUGCAGCACCCACCAGGGCCCUUCUCUCAUGGACUACACAAACAUGUGUUUUACCUGCUCGUGCUCCAGAUGUCCUGUAGCAGCUCUCAAGGACCACCAGACACCAGGCUGAAGCAGAACUGAUGCUGUAGUACCUGUCACUCACUGGGCUUGUCCCUGCUGAACCUCCAAGAGAUAAACCCCUCUUCAAGAAAGUCUGAGGUAAUGUCUUAGUGAACUUGUGUUCAUUUAUUUUUUCUUAGUAAUCUUAGCUGCUGUAUUAAUGCUUGUGAUGCUAUUGUACAGCUCUGCUGAUAUCGUCUUUAACAGCAGUGUUUUCUCCCAGGUCUUCUUCAAGCCAGUUAAGAGAGGAAGAACAGCUUAGACACUCAGGCAGCUGAACUCACCAAAGGUGGACAUCAUGCAGCCACCCUGAGCCUUGAGCCUCUCUGUGUGAGGAAGCUUUGCUGCUGCUUACCUGGUGAAGUGGCUCUGGACAGAAAUAUUUUUUGCUCUGCUGCAGUGCUGAAGGUAUUCAUUGUAAUGAUGUGUGUAUUUAUUCAACAUGUUUAGUUUCACAGAUUAUCAACACAAAUGUUUCUGUUUAUUUCCUGUUUUGAACCAGCUACAUUCUCCUACUUCAAGUCACUGUCUGUUCAUCCACGGUGUAGCAAGUGCAGCUGCCUAAUAGUGAUCCUACAAGUCCUGCAGUCCUGUGAAGCAAGCUGCAGCAGAUGUCAUCACAUUCAGAUCAUCAGUUCAUCUUUACUGUAGCUUUAAACUUUCCCUGACUCCAGUGAUUCUGUCAACUCGAACACCGAUAACUGCACACAGCGAUUCUACAACCACAGGUCAAAGGUCAAAACAUUACCUCACUCAAAACCUUCACUCUGAACUUUACCGGGCUCUGCUUUUGGUUUUGAAAAAAAGUGCCCAGACAGAACACAGUACUCACUUGAGGAACUGACUGAUUGUCUUCAGGACAGGACAACUAUUACUCUUAUAUUGUUUUGAAUCCUGUUUUCUACAUUAAGUGAUCGGUUGUCGAUAUCUGUUUAUAUUUUAAGUUUCCUUUAUGUUUCUUGGAC